rnacentral:lncRNA from 1 species
CUAAAUCUUACUAUUGCCAAAUAGAGUAUUUGAGUAUCACAUUAUAUUUGUGAAGUGUAUUGUAUCUAUAAAAGCAAAUGCAAUUGAAAAUUGAAAUGGGAAAUGUGUCAAAGAGACAACAACCCGACCAAAGAGAAGACAACAGCAUAAGGCCACCAAUGGGUCUUCAAUGCAUGCAACGAGGAACUCCCGCAACCGGAAAUAUCUGCUAUGAGCUUUUCACGUUAAUCACCUAAUAAUCGAAUCAAUCGAAACACAAUAUUGAUUAGUGGUU